ACUCAAAUGAAUAGACGGGGGCCCGCACAAGUGGUGGAGCAUGUGGUUUAAUUCGACGCUACGCGAAGAACCUUACCUGGGUUUGACAUGCACGGGAAUCUACCAGAGAUGGUAGCGUCCUUCGGGACUCGUGCACAGGUGCUGCAUGGCUGUCGUCAGCUCGUGCCGUGAGGUGUUGGGUUAAGUCCCGCAACGAGCGCAACCCUUAUUUUUAGUUGCCAUCGGGUAAUGCCGGGCACUCUAGAGAGACUGCCUACAUAAGUAGGAGGAAGGUGGGGAUGACGUCAAGUCAGCAUGGCCCUUACGUCCAGGGCUACACACGUGCUACAAUGGCCGGUACAAAGGGCAGCCAACCCGCGAGGGGGAGCGAAUCUCAAAAAACCGGUCUCAGUUCGGAUUGUAGGCUGCAACUCGCCUACAUGAAGUCGGAAUCACUAGUAACCGCAGAUCAGCUACGCUGCGGUGAAUACGUUCCCGGGCCUUGUACACACCGCCCGU
rnacentral:rRNA from 1 species